rnacentral:misc_RNA from 1 species
UUUCCGUAGGUGAACCCGCGGAAGGAUCAUUAUUGGAUAACCGAGGUGCGAGGGCUGUCGCUGACCCGAAAGGUCGUGCACGCCCGAGUGCCCUCACACACAUCCAUCUCACCCCUAUGUGCACCACCGCGUGGGUCCCCCUUUGGCUUGUUCGGAGGGGGGCUUACGUUUUCACACAAACUUUGUAUGCAGUGUAGAAUGUAUUUUUUGUUUUUGCGAUCACGCAAUCAAUACAACUUUCAACAACGGAUCUCUUGGCUCUC